AAACUUUCAACAACGGAUCUCUUGGUUCUGGCAUCGAUGAAGAACGCAGCGAAAUGCGAUAAGUAAUGUGAAUUGCAGAAUUCAGUGAAUCAUCGAAUCUUUGAACGCACAUUGCACCUACCAGUAUUCUGGUAGGUAUGCCUGUUCGAGCGUCAUU
rnacentral:rRNA from 1 species